CGGGGAAUAUUGCACAAUGGGCGCAAGCCUGAUGCAGCAACGCCGCGUGCGGGAUGACGGCCUUCGGGUUGUAAACCGCUUUUAGUUCUAACGAAGCGAAAGUGACGGUAGGGACAGAAAAAGGACCGGCUAACUACGUGCCAGCAGCCGCGGUGAUACGUAGGGUCCGAGCGUUGUCCGGAAUUAUUGGGCGUAAAGGGCUUGUAGGCGGUCUGCCGCGUCGGAAGUGCAAUCUCAGGGCUCAACCCUGAGCCUGCUUCCGAUACGGGCAGACUAGAGGGAUGCAGGGGAGAACGGAAUUCCUGGUGGAGCGGUGGAAUGCGCAGAUAUCAGGAGGAACACCGGUGGCGAAGGCGGUUCUCUGGGCAUUUCCUGACGCUGAGAAGCGAAAGCGUGGGGAGCAAACAG
rnacentral:rRNA from 1 species